GAUGAACGCUGGCGGCGUGCCUAAUACAUGCAAGUCGAGCGAACAGAUAAGGAGCUUGCUCCUUUGACGUUAGCGGCGGACGGGUGAGUAACACGUGGGUAACCUACCUAUAAGACUGGGAUAACUUCGUGAAACCGGAGCUAAUACCGGAUAACAUUUGGAACCGCAUGGUUCUAAAGUGAAAGAUGGUUUUGCUAUCACUUAUAGAUGGACCCGCGCCGUAUUAGCUAGUUGGUAAGGUAACGGCUUACCAAGGCGACGAUACGUAGCCGACCUGAGAGGGUGAUCGGAAAGAAUGGAACUGAGACACGGUCAAGACUACUAAGGGAGGAAGCAGUAGGGAAUAUUCCGCAAGAGGCGAAAGCCGGACGGAGUAACGCAGCGGGAGUGAUGAAGGGAUUAGGAUAGUAAAAAUCUGUUAUUAGGGAAGAAAAAAUGUGUAAGUAACUGUGCACGUCUUGACGGUACAUAAUCAGAAAGCCAAGGCUAACUACGUG
rnacentral:rRNA from 1 species